AGUGAACGCUGGCGGUAGGCCUAACACAUGCAAGUCGAACGGCAGCACAGUAAGAGCUUGCUCUUACGGGUGGCGAGUGGCGGACGGGUGAGGAAUACAUCGGAAUCUACUUUUUCGUGGGGGAUAACGUAGGGAAACUUACGCUAAUACCGCAUACGACCUACGGGUGAAAGCAGGGGAUCUUCGGACCUUGCGCGAUUGAAUGAGCCGAUGUCGGAUAGCUAGUUGGCGGGGUAAAGGCCCACCAAGGCGACGAUCCGUAGCUGGUCUGAGAGGAUGAUCAGCCACACUGGAACUGAGACACGGUCCAGACUCCUACGGGAGGCAGCAGUGGGGAAUAUUGGACAAUGGGCGCAAGCCUGAUCCAGCCAUACCGCGUGGGUGAAGAAGGCCUUCGGGUUGUAAAGCCCUUUUGUUGGGAAAGAAAAGCAGCAGGUUAAUACCCCGCUGUUCUGACGGUACCCAAAGAAUAAGCACCGGCUAACCUCGU
rnacentral:rRNA from 1 species